GUGUUCCCUGUCCUGCUUCCCCAGAGGAAGCCAGAAGAAGACCCCAGUUGCCAUGAACUCCGCCGUCACUAGCCGUGAGCACUCCACUUACUCGAGGAGUGAUGUCGUGCUCAGCUCCCAACCUAUGGCCAAGGCAGGAGGACAGAUAGGCAGCCCGGGAGUCCCGCAGCAGCUGCCUGGCCUAUGACAUCUUGGACAUCCUGCCAUGUUAUCUCUGUAUCUUCUUGGGGAUUCAGCACUUCCUCACAGCCCUGGGGGGCCUCAUGGCGGUGCCAUUCAUCCUGGCCAAGGACCUGUGCCUGCAGCAGGACCCCCUGACACAGAGCUACCUCAUCAGCACCAUUUUCUUUGCUCCAGCAUCUGCAUGCUCCUGCAAGUGUUUUUAGGGGUCAGGGGUUCUCCAGCCGGCCCAGGUUGUUCAGAUGCUGCUGACCAUGGGCAUGUUCAUCAGUGGAUUUCUGGGUUUUCUUCUAGACAACACCAUCCCCGACUCGAAUCAUUUCUUGGUCUAGCAUCUCCAUGCUGUGGAGGAUACCCGCCCCCUUAGUAGCUGUCUUGGUGAUCAGAUUGACCGUCGAGGCACUGCAGUGCUUGUCCUCAGAACAAGAACCCAGAGCCCACCAAAGGACUGGCGUGAAAGGAGCUGUAGCACUGUAUCCGUCCCACCCUCCACUGGCACCGGAUGGCUGCCCCACAUGACAGGAAGUGUUGGUGUGACCAGACCAGCAGCCCAGGAGCCAUGGGCUAGAGUGGGGCAUUGGGACCGAAUGAGCGGUAACAUGAACAAGCUGAAACACAUUCCUGCCCAGCCUGCCAAGCUGUGGGCAGUGACACGCUCUUAUUUGCCAGACUACAAGAGAAGAUCUGUGACCCUUCUGGGGGCCCAUACCUUGGGGCUCCCCAAGCCAGAGCUGUGACAUGCUGUAACACCCUCUUGCAGCUCCACGGUUGCUGGUGUCUUUGAGUUUUCAGGCACCACGGCGUUCCCCUUGUUGGGAUGCCAGUGCCCAAGGUGGAAGCCACUUGAGGCAUACCUGGUCCAGCCACAGCCUCACAUGGUUCUGACACCUGGAGCUGCCUGCCCUUCUGCAGCAGCUGGUGCACCUGGCUCUGUGGUGUGGCUGGACCCUGUGCUCACUCACACACCUCCCACUACUCCGCGCCUGGCUCACCCAUGAUGGGAAUGGGAUCUGGGCCAGUAGUGCAAGCUGAGGACAGCCUGCUGGGCUGAGUAGGCAGAGCCAGCCCAGCAGUUGUGAGCAAAACUUGGUCAGAGGCGCCACUGGUCACAGAAGUUUCUGGCUGGUGAAGUGGCACUGAAAGAAUCCUGUGUGACUUUGCUCAUCUCAGUUACUCAUUCUGUGGCCACAUCUCAGACUAGCCUUGGGGAUUCCCAGUAGCUGUGCCUGCAAUCCUCAAUUUCAAGCAGUUGUCUGACCACCACCUCCUAUUUUUCCAGCUCACUACUUCUAGUCCCCCAAGUCUAAUAACUCUUUAAUUGGCCAGGAUCUGAAUCUACCGUCCUCCCACCUUCCGCUGGUCCCCUCUUCCCUCCUUGAGCAACCUCAAUGCCACAGUCAGUCAUAAUAACCACCUUCUCGCAUUUGCAACGCCCUUAGUCUGCUCUCUUCUUUACACUCUCUUGGCAAAACCUGAACGCUGAUGAGAAAUAACUCUUCACUCUGCACCUGCACUCGUGCAGUUGAGCAUCUCUGGGGAAAACAUACAGUUGAAUGGAGUGGUUUUAGAUUCAGACCCUGAACUUCACGGGAUCCUCAGUGCCGCCUGGCAGGCAGGAACCCUUUCCCAAGCACACUGCUCUCUCUGCUAAAACUCUUUCCACCUCUGUCUUCUUCUUCUUUUUUUUUUUUUUUUUUUGAACUUCACGGGAUCCUCAGUGCCGCCUGGCAGGAAGGAACCCUUUCCCAAGCACAAGGCUCUCUCUGCUAAAACUCUUUCCACCUCUGUCUUCUUCUUCUUCUUUUUUUUUUUUUUUUUUUUUGAGACGCUCACUGUCACUCUGGCUGGAGUGUAGUAGUGCGAUUACAGAUCACUGCAGUCUUGACCUCUGGGCUCAAGGGAUCCUCCUGUCUCAGCCUUCCGUGUAGCUGGGGCUACAGGCAUGUGCCACCGCACUCUGCUAAUUUUUUAAAAAAUACUUUGUGGAGACAGAGUCUUGUCAUGUUGCCCAGGCUAGUCUUGAACCGCUCGGCUCGAGCAGUCCUCCAGCCUUGGCUUCCCAAAGUGCUAGGAUUACAGACAUGAGCCACCAUACCCAACCUCAGCUUCUUAUUUCAGAGAAAUCUGUAAAGGAGUAAUCAGAUGAGAAACUGUGCAAACACCUGCAUGUCUCCACUCCUAGCUUUGGUGCCCCUUGACUCUCCCUCCUGUUGGGUGAAUGAGCUGCCUGGCUCCUCCCUGAAGCUGGUUCCUCCCCUUGUGCUCCAGAGCCCAUUCCCUGAUUUCUAUUCAAGGGUUUCACUGCGACAAGUCUCCUAUCUUGCAUCAAGUUUUCUCUUUCUUUCAGUAACGCAUGUCAGCAUACACACCUGCUGUUAUUUCUGCUAUCUUAAAAAAAGAUUUUUUUUCUUAAAAAGAGACUUUUGUGAGUGUGUGCCAUGGUAGGCUUAAAGUAACAGGGUCCCGCCCAUCUAACAUGCUGUAAUAAAUGUGCUGGAGCUGAGGACCUGCGCUUAGCUGCUCCAGGAGUCCUGGAUGCCUCUCAUACCAGUCAAGAGCAGGCCCAUCCUCUUUCCUUACCCUACUGCUUCUGUGCCCACAGAAGCCCUUCACAUCCUGUCUCAUUCUGCCCUUUGUUCCUUUUCCUUUGGUUGACAGCUCCAGGACUUCAGAACAUUCCCUAUGUUCUCACCAAACAGCUGCCAGGCAGCCAGGCUCAGUUUUCCAAGUGGGUUUUCCUGUACUUUAUUUUCGUAUCGUGCUGUCCCCAGGCAGCCAAAGCAGGAUGAACAGCAGGAGAAGAGAGCCAGGCCCUCUCCUGGAACAGCCUCCUGGUCUUCCCUCAGCUGUACUUUUUUUUAUUGUCAGAACACGUAGUUUCAGAGCUUCAGGAACAAGGCAGCUUUGUGAGAAGCAUAUGCAAGAAGGGACAGAUUUCUGACAUUUCCAUAAAAGCACAAAGGCUUGUUUUGUUCAGAAUCAAGGUUGGAGAAGUAGCUGGUGGAUAAGAAGUAAUUGACGAGAUGGGCUUGGGGUAAUUAGCUUGAUUCAAUUAGCAUGAGGUGGAACUGAGUUACCCAAGCUAGAUGUCAGCUCAGCCCAGCCACCACCCGCCCACACCAUCUGCACUCAAUAAGCAUUUAUCUGUUGGAGCUUUUUCUGCACAUUCCAAGGUCGCUAUCAGAAUCUGAAUCCCCUGUUCUGAUAAUGCAGUGCCUAGAGCCACGGCCUCGCAGCUUCCCUCCUUCACCUCCAAUCUUGCUUCUUCCCGCCUCCACUUGACCUCCCAUGAUCCCCCUCCCAGUCAUCACCUAGAGGUGAUGCACAGAGUGGCCGACAGAGUGAACUCCAAGGGCUGGCUUCACAUUCCUACAUCCUAAUUCUUUAGAGGCAGGGCUUUUUUGUGACUUUAAACAACAAAAUUGUUCCCCAUUCAUUAACUUAUUGGGGAUAAAAAGAGUUAGAGGUGAGGUGAUCUGAGAUUCUUCUAUUAAAUGGUUUGGGGCUUCAGUUAAAUCAUUGUUUCUUCAUCUGUCAAAUGGCAGUAAUAACAGAGGCCCAACCUCCACAGGGAGCUGCUAUAACAACAACAACAUAAAAAUCCCCAAGGGGUACCCGUGAUGUUGGUUUCAUGUGUCAAGCUGGCCAAGCUAUAGUAUCCAGUUAUCUAAUCAGGCACUCCUUUAGGGGGUGUUGUGAAGGCAUUUUAUAGAUGUGGUUAACAAACCAGUCCACUUUAAAUUAAGAAGAUUGCCCUUGCUGAUGUGAUUGGGGCUCACCAUCCAUUAGCUGAAGGCCGUAAGAACAGAACUGAGGUUUCUGGGAGGAGACAUUCUUUCAAGACUGCACUGCCAACUCCAGCCUGAGUUUCCAGCCUCCUGGAAGCCCUACAGAUUUCAGACAUGCAGUCCCCACAAACAGAUAAACCAAUUUCUUAAAAUAAAUCUCGGUGUCUCUAUAUCGUAUUGGCACUGUUUUUCUGCAGAACUCUGAUUGCUACAGUACUGACUGAUAUAGGAAGAUACCUUCCCGAUACAAGUCCUUGGUGGGGAGGAAGGGAGAUUGAGAACCACGUGAAGGUAGUUUUAUGCAAUAACUCCAUCCCAGGCUAUGCCAAUACCCAAGGCUGCAGGAGAGAAGCAGAGGGCUGUUGGGCUCACAACCCAGCACAAGGUUGUGGGGGGAAGGGACACCUCCACAUCCUGCUGAGGUCCUCUCUGACUAGGGGCUGCUGGCAGGUAUGGCUCAAGGAAUGAAGUCGCAGCCUUGGACUAAAUAGGAUCAGGGUGGAGCUUGGUACAAAGAGGGAGGGGCUGGCUAGCACUGGCAUACAUUGCUUGAGGGCCUACUAUGUGCACGCCCCUCUGUAAAGCUGCAUUUCUUCUUUCCCACACAGCUGGCUUGGUGAGCCUCUAGGGGUGGCCAACCUGAGCUCCUGCAUUCCUGUCUUUCCAGCAGGAGUUCAAGCUGCCCCUGAGCACAAAGGCCCUUCCUGCCCAGCUCCUGGAGAGCCUCCCUCUGCCCACUCGGUGCGGUGAUUUGUAAGCUGUGAAGGGCUUGCGAAGCUCCUAUCCCUGCACACCCCGGGGGAAGUCCUUGAGUGCGGGCUCAUGCAUCUCAGGACUGCUUUGGAGUCACACAGGACUGGGUCUGGGUCCUAAGACUUAGCCGGUGUUUCAGACUCUCGCUAGGAGAUAACACAGUCCAAGCCUUUGGGAGGGCCUCAGUGCAGGGGAGGGGCUGCUAUGAUGCCUUGAAAACUGUAAAGAGCCAUGCAAGCCCAUUCUCCCCGCACACCCUGCAUUAGUCUGGGUUCUCCAGAGAAAUAGAGCCAAUAAGAUGUGUAUAUACGUAGAUACAGAGAAAGAGAGAGGUGAAAUAUUUAUUUUAAGGAAGGGACCCAUGCAGUUGUGGAGGUGCAAGUCUAAAAUCUGCAAGGCGGGCCGGCAGGCUGGGAAGAGCCGCAGUUCAAGUCCAAAGUUGGACUGCUGGCAGGAUUCCCUCUUUCUCCCGGGAGGUCGGUCUCUUUCGAUUCAGGCCUUUAACCUAUAGGAAGCAUUCUGAGGAUCAUCUGCUUUACUGGAAGUCUCCUGACUUAAAUGUUAAUUUCAUUAACAAUACCUUCACAGAAACAUCUAAAAUAAUGUUUGACCAAAUUCCUGGGUAUCACAGACUAGCCAGGUUGACACAUAAAAUUCACCCUCACCCCCAGUGUCCAAGCCCAGGUACACGUAUGCACCCUUUGCCCAGAAGCCUCACCAGAAAGCCCUCGGAACCCUCGGACCUCACUGUAGCUCCUGUUCAGGUGACUUUAUUACCAGGAGCAGCAGAUGAAUCUGGUUCCACCCAGCUGUCCUGUGGCACAGGGUUGAGGUCAGCACUGCCCCUGGCUCUCAGAGUGUGCAGGAUGAGCAGGUGGGCUGUGGAACUCUCUAGAACCCAUCAGGGCAAUGCCCUGUGCCCAGGACAUGCUGAAAGUACCUGGUGUUAUGUCACCUCCGAGGACAGAUCCUGCCUGUCCUCCUUGAAAGGCCCAUGGCCUGGGCCCCAGCUGUACUUUCUACCCCCUUAAUAGGAGCACAAUAGCAGCAGGCCAGCCCUUUGUGCCAAACAGUCCCUAAAGACCAACACGAGGCCGUGCUUCUCUUAUACUUUAUAAUAAUCAGAAACUAAAAUCAUCAAAAUGCUUCUGGAACAACCCACUCCAAAGAGUCCUGGAGGCCAAGGCAGGUGCAACCUUAGCUGCCAGCAUUCAACCUUGGGAACUGCCCACCUCAUUCAGUCCCUCCCCUCGCAGCUCCUCUUCUGCAUUACAAAUCUUCAUCGUCAAAGGUCUCUGUGCACUGCAACAUGAUCAUCUCUUCAUCAACGGGAAAGGAUGCUUCCUGCAAGACACAGGGUGGAAGAGGGUCACUUUUUAUCUGUGGGUCUUGGGCCCGAGGCAGAUAGGAAGGCUCCUGCAUCUCCGGUGUGCCCAGCCCCCAGACUCUAUCCUACGUCUCUUCCGCUGCAUUUUCACCUCCAGCUUGGGCCAGGAAGCAAGGGCUCUAAGGGGGGAAGGUCCCAUUUCCAUUUCACUCAACUCAGCAUUCUAUGACCUCCAGAAAGGACACAGCAGAACUGGCUUCUUUUUUAUCCUGGGGAUUUCCAGGUUCCCACAAGAGAGACAGAGGACCUCAUAAGGCUUUAUCCAAAUGCUCAUCAAUAGAAGACGGUGCACUGCACCACGGUGCUCCCACCAAUGAAACACCAUGCAGCUCAUUUCCAACAAAAAUAAUGAGACAGCGUGCUCUCUGUGGGAUACACUAUUUACAAAGGGCAAAGUGCAAAGCAAUGUGUACCGUAGGCUACUACUAUUUGUGUUUGAAAGAAUAUAUAAUAUCUGUAGAAUAUCUUUGGAUGAGUGUACAAGAAACUGGUCACUGUAGUUGCCUCUGGGGGAGGGUAUGGGGUAGGAAGCAAGGAAGAGAGAGAGACUAAGUGUCCAUUGUAUAUCUUUUGGUAACUUGUAAAUUUUAUGCCAUGUAUAUGGGUUACCUAUUAGGAGAUGAUAUUUUUUUAAGCAGCAGCACUGCAGCUGGUCAUGAUGG